AGAGAAUUGCCUGUCCAAGGCACAGCCGCACAGGCAAAAGCUGAAGCCAAUCCCUGGCAGAAGUGCUCCCGCCACAGCCGCACAGUGCCACAGGACAGCGCAAGCUGCUCCCAGCCAGGCAGCCGUGGAACCGAGUGCCAUGUAGCUGACCUCACACCAGGCCCGAGAUAUGAGGAAUGAGGCCAUGACUGUGACAUCACAAAUGGGGCACGAGGUAGAAUGGGAGAGAUGCUGCAGUUGUCCUGGUGCAGCCCAUCCGCAGCCAUCCCGGGCCCGACCCGAGAGGCAGAACUGGCUCCCCUGGCAGCUGCUGCGGGAGCCAGAGCAUGCGAGCUCCUGAGCCUUGUUGGGCCUGUGCCGGGUGCUGCUGCCCCACAACUUACGCCUGGGUCCACAGGCCGGAGGGGCUGUGCCUCCUGUGCCAAGGCGUAGAAUCAUAGAAUAGUUAGGGUUGGAAAGGACCUUACUAUCAUCUAGUUCCAACCCCCCUGCCCUGGGCAGGGACGCCUCACACUAGACCACGUCGCCCAAGGCUCUGUCCAACCUGGCCUUGAACACUGCCAGGGAUGGAGCAUUUACCACUUCUUUGGGCAACCCGUUCCAGUGCCUCACCACCCUCACAGUAAAGAACUUCUUCCUUAUAUCCAACCUGAACUGCCCCUGUUUCAGUUCGAACCAAUUACUCCUUGUCCUAUCACUACAAUCCCUGCAUGCUGUCCCUUGGGUGAUUCCACCAGCACACCACCACACCUCUUGUGCCUGCCAGAUGCCUCUGUGUGGCCACCAGGCCUCAUGGCUGCCCUGCUAUUUCCUUCUCCUGACCCCACAGGUUCCCAGAAGCUCCCUGAGGUUUCCCAGCUCCCAUUCCUGGGACCCCCCUGCCUCAGCCCUCCCUGACCCUGGGGACCCCUGACUCCUCCAGAGCCCUUCCACAAGGCCCCCACAGCUGGGCCAGAGCUUCAGGGGUGCCAUGUCCCAGGCAGGCCAGACGACUGUGCGGGGGAAGGCCCCACAGGCAUGGGGAGGCAUGGCGGGGGGCAGAACCAGGAGAGCUGAACCAGGAUCUCCCCGGGGCUCUGGCUGCUCCUCGAGGGAGGCUCCUGCGUGGGGCUGCCCCAUCAGCGUGCACAGACCAGACUGGAGGAUCCAGCAGCCUCAGCAACGGACAAAUCUGCCCAUCACACCAGGCACAAGGCACCCGAGCAGCUUGCUGCACCUCUGAACCGCCCAGUGGAGUUUCUCCCUGGUUGUGCAAGGAAUUCCUUGUGGGCAGUGUGUGGGGCUCUGCCCCCACCCAGGUGUCCACACACCUCUCGGGCCUGUAAAAAGUAUUAAGAUACUGGUUUUGCAGUCGGCCAUUAAACGAAUGUAACUUCCAGAACAAGACCACAAGAUGGCGGUUAGGACACCCGUUUUUGCAAAAACGUUUGAUAAAUUGCUGUUUCACUGCUGCAUCUCGCCUGAGCCUUUACAAGAAAUGUUUUUAAGUUCCUAAUAGGCCUGCCCAGGUUUCGCGCUAUGUCUCGACCUGAUGCUGCCUUUGAGCGGGCCUGCGGAACGACAUCGCUCUGCUCCACGCUAACAAACAGCCACGUUCCUCGGCUCGGAGGCUUUUCUCUUUUUUAUUUCUGGAGCAGGAGGUCUCCUCGUGCCUGGCCGACGGCGUUCGUUCCCGUUACCUUCCCAUGAACCUGCACUCGAUAAAUGCAGGUGUUGCCCGACUUGCCCCAAUUGCUGCGUAUGCCAAGUCUCAUAAACUGAAAGGCUCUGGGAAGCUCAUUCUGCAAAGCAAACAUGGCAAAGAGACGCGUCACUCGUGGAGCGCAGGGAGCGGCAGGAGGCCCCACGCAUCUUCCUCUGCCAGGCUGGCCCUUGCUCUGGGAGGUGCACUCCCGCCCUGGCCUGGCGGACAGCUUCUCCCUCCUUCCCUUCUCCCACCGCUGUGCCUCUGCAGAGCAAAGCCCUGGCCUGAGCGAGCAGGCUGGGCCGCUGUGCAGACCUAAUGCUUGCCGGGUCAGCGCCAAAAGGGAGCCUGGGGAAAGUGCUGCUGCUGCUGCUGCUGCUGGGGUAAGGUGCUGGCUGUCCUCCUUGCCACCGCCUGCCUGGCUGAGGCUCGGUCCCUGCCCCACCACCCCUUCCCCUUGCGGUGGCCUCUGUGCUGCAGAGCGGCCGGGGAGCACUGCUGUGCACGGGCUGCGGCAGCACCUUGAGGCUCCUCCCCCUGCGUGCCCAGCAGAGCUCAGGCCCAGAGACGCGGCCACCCUGCAACUGCCGGCUGGGCAUCCCCACGGUGCUCCUGCUGGCUCUCGCCACCCAACACUUGUGUUAUAGGGCCGCGUGCAGCACGCGUGUGGCUGGCAAGGCCAUGUAUGACUUUUUCAGAAGUAGCAGGCAUAGGCUUCACAGUAUGAAGUGGUGGUGACAAAUCCCCACUGCACUCUUAAACAGGUCCUGCAGGUGCAUUGGGCCCAGUCUCUUAAUAGGCUUAAUUUUCAGGGUAUCAAGGUCAUCCAGGAAUUGUGGAUUCCAGUCCCAUCCCUUAUUUUUCUGAAGCAAGUUGUACAGUGGGCGAGCAAGUACCCAAAAGUCGGGCAUAUAUGUUUUCUCUAAUAACCUAAUUUGCCCAACAACUGCUGCAAUUCUGUUGUGGUACCCGGGGAUUGUCCUUCCUCAAUGUCUGACAGGUUAUCGUCAGGUACUGCAACAGCUCCUGCUACCCCCAAGCCCCAGAGAAUUUAACUUCUUGUCAAGGACUGGGGCAUGUGGAGGGUGGAACGUUCAGCCCAUUUUUAUUCGGUAGGUUCCAAAAGGCUCCAGCCACUUGCCCCACUCUUGUUCUUUAUUGUCUCCACCAACACACCAGGUUGCUCCAGACUGCGGCAAUUGGGGGCAGCCUGCAAAAGCCUCACAGGUGGCUUCUGCCUCCCUGCACCCAAACGCCUGCACCCUGCCACGGGGUAGAUCCAUCGCUGGCCUGCGGUACAUCACAUCGCAAUGGAUUUUCCUUGUGAGGGUGAGCACUGCUGCAGCGGUCACCAUCCUGUCCCCAGCAGCCAGGGCUGAGCUCGAGGCAAGGGCAGUUUUUCUGCUCCACCAGUCACCCGCGAUGCCCACAGCUCUCCUUGUGACGGUCUAAGUCCUUCCUCCUCCGCCUGUUGCUCAUUUAAAACACCAUCUGGGCCCCGCAUCCAUUACACCUCCAGGCUUGCUCGCUCCGUGCCCGGGGACAUGAGCACAGGGCUCCAUGCCAGCGGCCGGGGCAGGAGCUCACCGCCGGCCCGAGCCCCUCACCGCGGCUUCUCGUCCUCACCCCGCUCGGGUUCUCUCGCCCCGGGCCCAGCGUGUCGGUUUGCGUGUCUGCCGUUCCCCCCCGCACUGCCGCCGGCUGCUGGCCGCGGCCGCAGCGCUCUGUCCGCGCAGCCCCGCUCGGGCGCCGCCGGUGGAGCGGUUCCGGCCGAAGCACGUUCCUGCCCGAAGCCCCGCCCGGCGGCCCACGGAGGGCUGCGGAUCGCGGCGCGGCCGCAGC
rnacentral:lncRNA from 1 species